GGUCCUGUAGUGUAGUGGUUAUCACAGCGGAUUCUGACAGAGGGUCUGAAGACGAGUUUUCCGCUAACCCAGGUUCGAGUCCUGGCAGGACCU
rfam:Peniophora sp. CONT PENSPscaffold_103_Cont169, whole genome shotgun sequence.